rnacentral:misc_RNA from 1 species
CAGUCGUAACAAGGUCUCCGUAGGUGAACCUGCGGAGGGAUCAUUACACAAAUAUGAAGGCGGGCUGGAACCUCUCGGGGUUACAGCCUUGCUGAAUUAUUCACCCUUGUCUUUUGCGUACUUCUUGUUUCCUUGGUGGGUUCGCCCACCACUAGGACAAACAUAAACCUUUUGUAAUUGCAAUCAGCGUCAGUAACAAAUUAAUAAUUACAA